rnacentral:misc_RNA from 1 species
UUUCCGUAGGUGAACCUGCGGAAGGAUCAUUGCCACACCGAUCCAAGAUCGACACAAUAUGUGAACUGUCGAACCGUAUCGAUUCUGAAAGUAUCCUUCGGGAUGCGGAAGGAGUUGGUAUUUGGUUCACCCCACACAAAUAUGAUAUCUUUGGAACUAAAUGUUUUGUCGAGUUCGUCUUGACUUAACGACUAGAUUAUAAAUUGUAAACAACUUUUAACAAUGGAUAUCUAGGCUCUUGCAUCGAUGAAGAACGCAGC